rnacentral:tRNA from 1 species
GCCACUCUGGUGUAAACGGUUGGCACGCAUGCCUGAAGAGCAUGAAGUUUCGGUUCGAUUCCGAGGGGUGGCA